CCUAUCUCAACUCUAUAAAAGGAGGAAAUUGCCAUCGCCUGAUCUCGCUGAUUUCUCUUCCUUGACUCCAUCUGAUCCAGAAGUUCUGUGCGUCCAUGAAUCCACACUACUCAGUAAAUAUACCACUUUAUGGUUAAAGGAA